GAAAUGCGAUAAGUAAUGUGAAUUGCAGAAUUCAGUGAAUCAUCGAAUCUUUGAACGCACCUUGCACUCUCUGGUAUUCCGGAGAGUACGCCUGUUUGAGUGUCAUGAAACUCUCAUUCCCUACCUUUUCUUAAUUGAGAAGGAAGGGACGUGGACUUGGACUCUGCUGGUCUCCUUUAUUGGAAUCGGCUUGUCUGAAAUGUAUUAGCUGGAUCCUCUUUGUAAUUGGUUCUACUCGACGUGAUAAGUAUUUCGUCGAGGACAGUCUUAACGGACUGGCCGAGAGAAGAAGAGUCUUUUAGAUCCGCUUCUAAUCCGUGCGAGCUUGCUCCACACUUUUUAUGAUCUGGCCUCAAAUCAGGUGGGACUACCCGCUGAACUUAA
rnacentral:misc_RNA from 1 species